rnacentral:rRNA from 1 species
GAUGAACGCUGGCGGCGUGCCUAAUACAUGCAAGUCGAGCGAACAGACGAGGAGCUUGCUCCUCUGACGUUAGCGGCGGACGGGUGAGUAACACGUGGAUAACCUACCUAUAAGACUGGGAUAACUUCGGGAAACCGGAGCUAAUACCGGAUAAUAUAUUGAACCGCAUGGUUCAAUAGUGAAAGACGGUUUUGCUGUCACUUAUAGAUGGAUCCGCGCCGCAUUAGCUAGUUGGUAAGGUAACGGCUUACCAAGGCAACGAUGCGUAGCCGACCUGAGAGGGUGAUCGGCCACACUGGAACUGAGACACGGUCCAGACUCCUACGGGAGGCAGCAGUAGGGAAUCUUCCGCAAUGGGCGAAAGCCUGACGGAGCAACGCCGCGUGAGUGAUGAAGGUCUUCGGAUCGUAAAACUCUGUUAUUAGGGAAGAACAAAUGUGUAAGUAACGAUGCACGUCUUGACGGUACCUAAUCAGGAAGCCACGGCUAACUACGU